rnacentral:rRNA from 11 species
UUAACGUCAAGAAAUAAUCUUUUAUUUAUAUAAUUCGUACUUAGCCAACAAAGGAGAAUUUGUUUUAUAGAACAAAGGUAAUUGAGUUAAUCAUUCUUAAGGAACUAGGCAAAUUAAUUCUGUAACUUCGGGAAAAAGAAUACCUUAUACAAGGUGUCACAAAAUAACGAAUAGCGACUAUUUAACAAAAAUACAGGGUUUUGCAAAAUUGUAAAAUAUAGUAUAAGACCUGAAGCCUGCCCAGUGCUAGCAUAUUAAAUGUAAAAGUAAAUGCUGUUAAAUGAAAUACUAGUAAACGGAGGUCGUAACUCUAACGAUCAUAAAGUAGCAAAAUUCCUAGGCAAGUAAUUUUUGUCCUGCAUGAAUGGCUUAACGACUUUUCGACUGUCUCAAGAGUGAGCUCAGUGAAAUUAGAAUUUGUGUGAAGAUACACAAAAAUUAAAGUAAGACGAAAAGACCCUAUAGACCUUUACUAUAUUUUUACGUUGUUAUAAAAUUUUUCUUGUGUAGUUUAAGUGGGAGC